rnacentral:rRNA from 1 species
UACGAAGGGGGCUAGCGUUGUUCGGAAUUACUGGGCGUAAAGCGCACGUAGGCGGAUACUUAAGUCAGGGGUGAAGUCCCGGGGCUCAACCCCGGAACUGCCUUUGAUACUGGGUAUCUCGAGUCCGGAAGAGGUGAGUGGAAUUCCGAGUGUAGAGGUGAAAUUCGUAGAUAUUCGGAGGAACACCAGUGGCGAAGGCGGCUCACUGGUCCGGUACUGACGCUGAGACACGAAAGCGUGGGGAGCAAACAGG